GGAGCAGGUGCACAUGUGACAGGGAGGAGACAAAUACACAGGCAGACGGAGAGAGGACCGGCAGGGCUGAGAGGGAGCCCGUGCACCCGGAAGGUGCCCUCUUCCCUGCACAGAGCGGGGGAGGGGCGGGGAGCUGACAGCUGAGGCCCAUGGAUUCGGGGUGGGCUUGUUACUGAACCCCAGCAAGAGCAGAGACAGGGAGACGUCUGAAGAAGUUAACCACCAGAGUGACCUGAUGCUGGAGGUGGCCCGGGGAGGGACACAGGGGAUGGAGAGGUGCUUACAGGACCCUCCGGGCACCUUCCUGGGGUGGCACACACACAGGCACACACAGACCCAGCACAGGUAACCAGGGAGUGACAGGAUCUCCAGCUUGGGAGCCAGGGACAGUGUCUCAGGGUAGGUGUAGCCUAGCAUUGCAGGAUAUGGGGGUGACGUGAGGAUCCUCCAGCAUGACACCCCACAAGUGGGUGAACCAGAACCUGGGAAGGCCACAGGUGAGGAGACCCCAGGACAGGCCCCCAGGAGCCCCAGCAGGUUAGGGGCCGGCAGAGGAGGGGAAGGAGGCCUCUGAGAUACCAGACUCACAGGCACACAUACAGGUAUACACGGGUACACACACGGGUACACACAUGGGUACACACACGGGCAGACACACAGGUGCACACACAGGUGGACACACAGAGGGGCAGGGAGGCCCGGAAGAGGGAGAAGGCAAACCUGAGGUGGGGAGGGAGCAGGGAAGUAAGUGGCACGAGACAGAGUCAGACAUGGCACCUCUGGAAAAACUGAGAAGGAAGGAGAGAGGCCAAGAGAAAGAAAGAAGAGUGGGGGGAGCAGAGAGAGAGAGAGAGAGAGAGAGAGAGACAGCACGGGCACGUGAGCCACAGUCAGAGAGCAAAAGGAAGGGAGGGAACGAGGGUCAG
rnacentral:lncRNA from 1 species